GUAAGUAUGACAAAUUAGGCAUUUAAAAAAUGUGUUUGUUUGCAGUGAAGUAAAGGUUAAUCUGACAAGUUGUGCAAAAAGUAGGUACAGAUCAGCGAGAAUUCCCACAAUUAUAAAGUCACCAUCAUUUGUGCAGUGUUGUAAUCUUACUUUACUUUACCUGCUGAUACAUUGUCACAGUGGUGUUUUUCCAAACCGGCACUUUGAUUAUCUUUAGUAGCUGAAGGAGGAAAAAUGGUCAGCACUUACUGAAGAUCUAUAAAGUGAGCAAAAUGCACUACUGUAUUGGUAAGAAACAAUUCAAUUAAUUGUAAUGUUAAUGACUUACAUGACUGUAAAGAAACCUUUCUUUGUUCUGUGAAGGUUUAUAGCGGGACUUGAUGGAGAAAUUGGCUGUGUGACAUCACUGAAAGCAAAUAGCCAAGCAGCCUGAAUGCUUCCCUGGUAGGACUGGACCUUUGACAUCACUGAGAAAAAGGAAAUUGUUAUUUACACAGUUGUUCAUUAGAGGCCUUACCUUGUUGUCUUGGUUCUGAGGGCUCAUCUGGCCAGUACCCUGGGAUAUUAUCUGUAUGGAAGCACUUGGCCUGUGACAUGGCUAACAAAGCAUAAUUUGGUAAGUACUUUGUCACUAUAAAACUUUUUUGGUUUUUAUGUGCUUUUAUGCAUGGUGCU